rnacentral:rRNA from 1 species
GCUGCAUGGCUGUCGUCAGCUCGUGUCGUGAGAUGUUCGGUUAAGUCCGCUAACGAGCGCAACCCUCGCUGUGUGUUACAAGUGUCACACGGAACUGCCGGUCAUAAACCGGAGGAAGGUGGGGAUGACGUCAAGUCAGCAUGGCCUUUAUAUCCUGGGCUACACACACGCUACAAUGGGAAGGGACAAUAGGUUGCGAAGCCGCGAGGCGGAGCCAAUCCAGCAAAACUUCCCUCAGUUCAGAUUGCAGGCUGCAACCCGCCUGCAUGAAGUUGGAGUUGCUAGUAAACGCAGGUCAGCCAUACUGCGUUGAAUACGUUCCCGGGGGCUU